UCACACUAUCAAGCUUGGCUUGUUGUUGGGCCCUUUGUCACCUGGUGACAGGUCCAAAAGAUAAUAACCGGUGUCAUACAGACUCUAUAUGCAACGAGCUUAUUAUAGCACGCAUCUGGUAGUUGUGUGGCCCGGUUUUCACUUUGAUAUUUACCAAAGUGUAUUUCUCAA
rnacentral:misc_RNA from 1 species